CUUACCCACAUUUAGAUUCGGGCAGUGCCAAGACGCCUUAAAAAUGCGCAAGCGCCCCACGAAACCAGGAUGGAGGCUACGGGACUCGCCCGGAGACAGAGCGUGAGUGGGGGAAGGGCAGAGAGAGAGGGAGACAGAAUCCGAAGCAGGCUCCAGGCUCUGAACUGACAGCACAGAGCCCGACGCGGGGCUCGAACUCACGGACCGUGAGAUCAUGACCUGAGCCGAAGUCGGACGCCCAACCGACUGAGCCACCCAGGCGCCCCAACAGGUUGUUCGCUGGAUCCUAUUCUGAGGGGAAGUGACCACAAUUCACCGUGCACACGGACGUGUCAAUCAUCAGGCGAUCUAGGAGAGCGUGCAAGCGGGCAAGUUCAAACGCCAGUCUGGCUCUGGGGGAAUCAGACCACUGCCGCUUCUCCAUUUGUGAGGACGGUGCACUAAUGGCCUCUGGCAGGCUGCUCUGUGAAAGCACUGGACAGUGGAUGGAAGACCAGUAUAAAUUUUAAAUUGGUUUGUGCUGGAUAUAAAUAGAAACUGCCUCCGUGUGAAAUAGUUCUUAAUUUUUUUAAAUUCUCCGCUUUUCCAAGAAGUGACUUUUUAAAAAUGGACGCUUGGUGGGUCGGGCCAAGUUGUAAAGCAUGCAGGCCCUGUAGUAGUUGAGGGAGGUCAUUGUGGGCUCCUCUCUCCGAUUCCUUCAAUCUUUCCCUGUCUUCAGAAGGGUUCAUAUAUCACCUGGCCUCGGUGUCACCAGUGGGGAACAGAUGUCUGAGUAAUGAGCGUUUGUUCUGGGCUGAUUUACCCUGGGGAAGGCGUCUCGGGCAUGCAGGCCUCCAGGAAGCCCCGCUUUCCCCACUUUUAUGGUUCUUCUGCUGCCAAAACUACCAACUGAGUAACUUUCUAAGCUGGGGAGGCAUGUCUGUGCCUGUGCAUUUCGCCCAUUCUAAUGUAGUUUCCCCGGUGGGAAAUGGACUAUAAUAGUGUCAUGUGUUUUUUAUUGUGGCUUCUGUCUAUCCUCUCUUUGGCAAAAAGGAAGGCAGAGGAAAAACAUUUUCCCAGUGUUCAAAACAGCUAGUGAUGUCCCCAAGAAAAGCAUCCCCAGUAAAACACUGGAAAACAAAAGAGAGACCUACACACAUUUUAUGAUUUUCAGAACGAUGACACCUGCCAUGCAAUUAUUUGGUAAUUUUCAUGUGGCAGAAUAGGCAUCUCAGCUGCCAUCUCGUAGUCUUUUUGUCAAACAAAGCCCUAUGGGGUGUGUGAGUUUAAGUUUGUCUUUGAAACCUGAAAUCUAGAUUAUAUCGAUAUUAUCGGAAAACAAUGAAACCUGUGUUAAAGCAUUGUAAUUUCACAGGAGGAAGUAAGGGUCUGAAUGGCACAUUUCUCACCCGUAGGAGGGGAAAAGGCAGUUGGGGUUGCAGUUGCUGGGACAGCUUUAUUGCAAUAGAGGAUGAACAUAUUGACAUCAACUCCCUGCUCUGACCUUCUCGUUGUUGAAUGUCGAUAUGGUGUGUGAAGCCGCCUCACUUUCGUCUGCCUGCUUCUCGUUAUGUGCAAGUCAAAAGCACAUCCGCAGAGAUUAUGGAUUUAACUCAAUUUUGACACAUCACAUUUCAUCUCUCUCGUUAAGAAAGGCUGAGGUAUGACUCAUAAUUUAUUUUAAAUCAUUUUAAAUAUACUUAAUUAUGCAUAGAAAAAAAAGUGGAAAUCCAAAAUAAGAUUCAUGCAACUUUACAUUAACAUCAUCUAUUCAAAUUUAGCAUAUAUAACAUAAUGUUGUCUUGUACAGAGAAUGAAAGAAGUGGCCUUCUCCAGUGGGGGUCAGAGGGUGAUUCCUAACUCCUGGAGAUUCUCACUCUGUGCCCUGAAUGCCUGCAGCGUUGCAAUAUUUUACGAGCCUUAGUAACCUUUUUGUAAGUCCAUAUACACACAGACAAAUAAUACAAAGUCCCCAAAAGGCAUAAAAAUUAGAAUUUUCAUAUGUUUCUGUGUACUUAUACCCCAAACUACCAAUUAAUUUAGAAUAUUCUUUUUUUCCUUAAACUUAAUGUUUUUAUUUACUUUUGAGAGAGAGAGACACACAGAGUGCAGGUGAGGAAGGGGCAGAGAGAGAGAGGGAGACACAGAAUCAGAGGCAGGCUCCAGGCUCUGAGCUGUCAGCACAAAGCCUGAUGCAAGGCUCGAACUCACCAACCUUGAGAUCGUGAUCUGAGCCAGAGUCAGAUGCUUAACCGACUGAGCCACCCAGGCACCCCUAUAAUAUUCUUUUAUCAUCCCUUGCAUAGAUGUGAGGAGCCUACUGAGUGACAGUCUCCAAGUAUUAAGCCACAGGAAAGGUCACCUGAGGGUCCUUCUGCCCCUUAGGGUUAAUUAUAGUGGUUCUUCACGGGGCUGUUGGAGAAAUGAAUGAAUGAACAAACGAACGAACAAAAGAACAAACAUCACCUCCACGCAUUGCUGUGAGAAAUGAGUGACCAUCCUGGGUAGUUAUUUACAUGAGCAUUCUGAUGGCCAUGGAAACUGAUGAUCAAGUGAAAAGAGAAAUGAAAAACCUGGGUUUCAAGAAGGUAAAUGUUGAUGGACCAUUUUCUUUUCAGGUAGUAGAACUUUCUGUCUUUAGAAAAACCUACGUAACUUUAACCAGUAUCAAAACAUGGGUGCUCCGUAGCCAAUAAAAGUUAACAUGUCCAGGUG